UGUACAUUUCGCAUUCAACAGAUACGUCAGGGAACCUUCUGAGAGAGCAGAUAGGAACAAGAACACCGAAGCUAUCAGAGACAGAGGAACGGGCAGUACCCCCUAUCUGGAGUUCCUGGACAGCGUCAACAAGGAGACUGACAGGUGCAAACUACCUAAACCAGAAUAAAACUCUCGUCACGGAUAGUGACAGUUGUCAAGUAUCUUAAUAACGAACAUGACACACCUCCUAUGGCUGUCAUCGUCCUCAUCCUUGAUGUGCUGUGUCUAUUUAUUACAGCAUUUUGACUAGGACUGCGACUUGUUCUCGUAGCUUACAAAGAUUGACUAGAACUGAAACCUGAUGAAUACAAACUAUAGAAACACAACCUUAUUUCGUUCUGAUGUGUGAAUCACCUACGGAAACCUGAUUAGUUGGUAUACACUUCAUUUUGAGUAAUUGUUUGUCUUUCUGACCUAAAUAUGACUUUCGUCUUUUCGCGUUGUCUCCCGCAUGAGGACUACAAACGACCAAUAGAAAAAACGAGAAGAUUAAGCCCGACGUAGAUAAAUCAUGCCAAAAGGAGAGAGAAAAGACGCCAUUUUAUGUCUACGCGUUGGCGUUAUUUUUACUUCGGUUGUGAGAUUGUUUUGUCUUUUCGCUUUUGUGAUUUUUCGUCUUUUUGUUAUUUAGCUUUGGCUCCCUUGUGUUAUUCAUUGCUUCGCUUUCGUUUUGUUUAAAUGUUCAAGUUUGUUUGUGUAAUAAUUCUUAAUGAUUAAAGUGUUUGUUGUUGAUUG